rnacentral:rRNA from 1 species
AAAUUGAAGAGUUUGAUCAUGGCUCAGAUUGAACGCUGGCGGCAGGCCUAACACAUGCAAGUCGAACGGUAACAGGAAGCAGCUUGCUGCUUCGCUGACGAGUGGCGGACGGGUGAGUAAUGUCUGGGAAACUGCCUGAUGGAGGGGGAUAACUACUGGAAACGGUGGCUAAUACCGCAUAACGUCGCAAGACCAAAGAGGGGGACCUUCGGGCCUCUUGCCAUCAGAUGUGCCCAGAUGGGAUUAGCUUGUUGGUGAGGUAACGG